rnacentral:rRNA from 1 species
CACGCCGUAAACGAUGGAUACUAGGUGUGGGAGGUAUCGACCCCUUCCGUGCCGUCGUAAACACAAUAAGUAUCCCACCUGGGGAGUACGGCCGCAAGGCUGAAACUCAAAGGAAUUGACGGGGGCCCGCACAAGCAGUGGAGUAUGUGGUUUAAUUCGAUGCAACGCGAAGAACCUUACCGGGGCUUGACAUCCCGCGAUUGCCCGAGAGAUCGGGAGUUCCCUUUUAGGGACGCGGAGACAGGUGG